rnacentral:rRNA from 1 species
AACGAACGCUGGCGGCAUGCCUAACACAUGCAAGUCGAACGAGACCUUCGGGUCUAGUGGCGCACGUGUGCGUAACGCGUGGUAACCUGCCCUUAGGUUCGGUAUAACUCCCCGAAAGGGGUGCUAAUACCGGAUAAUGUCUUCGGACCAAAGAUUUAUCGCCUUUGGAUGGGCCCGCGUUGGAUUAGCUGGUGGGUAGGGUAAAAGCCUACCAAGGCGACGAUCCAUAGCUGGUCUGAGAGGAUGAUCAGCCACACUGGGACUGAGACACAGCCCAGACUCCUACGGGAGGCAGCAGUGGGGAAUAUUGGACAAUGGGCGAAAGCCUAAUCCAGCAAUGCCGCGUGAGUGAUGAAGGCCUUAGGGUUGUAAAGCUCUUUUACCCGGGAUGAUAAUGACAGUACCGGGAGAAUAAGCUCCGGCUAACUCCGUG